rnacentral:rRNA from 1 species
GAUGAACGCUGGCGGCGUGCCUUAGGCAUGCAAGUCAAACGGGCUCCGCAAGGGGCAAGUGGCAGACGGGUGAGUAAUAGUAAGGUAUCUACCUUUAAGUCGAGGACAUCUCGUCGAAAGACGGGGUAAUCCUGGAUAGUCUCGUAAGAGUAAAGGGAUUAACUUCCCGCUUUUAGAGGAGCCUUACUCCUAUCAGCUAGUUGGUGGGGUAACGGCCUACCAAGGCAAUGACGGGUAGCUGGUGUCAGAGCAUGACCAGCCACAAUGGCACUGAGAUACGGGCCAUACACCUACGGGUGGCAGCAACCGGGAAUCGUCGGCAAUGGGCGAAAGCCUGACCGCGCGACGCCGCGUGAGGGAUGAAGCAUUUCGGUGUGUAAACCUCUUUUACCAGGGAAAGUAAGGAUGGUACCUGGGGAAUAAGCGCCUACUAACUACGUGCCAGCCGCCGCGGUAAUU